UACGUAGGGUGCAAGCGUUGUCCGGAAUUAUUGGGCGUAAAGAGCUCGUAGGCGGUCUGUCGCGUCGGCUGUGAAAACUCGGGGCUCAACCCCAAGCCUGCAGUCGAUACGGGCAGACUAGAGUGCGGUAGGGGAGACUGGAAUUCCUGGUGUAGCGGUGAAAUGCGCAGAUAUCAGGAGGAACACCGGUGGCGAAGGCGGGUCUCUGGGCCGUAACUGACGCUGAGGAGCGAAAGCGUGGGGAGCAAACAGG
rnacentral:rRNA from 1 species